rnacentral:rRNA from 1 species
AUGGCAACGCAGAUGGGCUGCUCGCCGGCGGCGGCCAGGGCCGCGCGCCUCCUCCUCAUCGUCCUCGUGGUCGCGGCUGGCACAUCGGUGGCCGGGGCGACGUACGUCCGGUACAAGGAUCCGAAGCAGCCGAUCCAGGCGCGCGUGACGGAUCUCCUCGGCCGAAUGACGCUCGAGGAGAAGAUCGGCCAGAUGACCCAGAUCGAGCGCGCCAACGCCUCCACGGCCGUCAUCGAGAAGUACUUCGUCGGGAGCGUGCUGAGCGGCGGCGGCAGCGUGCCGUCGGAGAAGGCGUCGGCGGCGACGUGGCAGGAGAUGAUCACCAAGAUGCAGAAGGCGGCGCUCAGCACCCGCCUCGGCAUCCCCAUCAUCUACGGCAUCGACGCCGUGCACGGCAACAACAACGCCUACAACGCCACCAUCUUCCCCCACAACGUCGGCCUCGGCGCCACCAGGGACCCCGACCUGGUCAAGCUCAUCGGCCGCGCCACGGCGCUCGAGGCCAGGGCCACCGGCAUCGCCUACACCUUCGCGCCAUGCGUCGCCGUUUGCCGUGAUCCGAGGUGGGGCAGGUGCUACGAGAGCUUCAGCGAGGACACGAAGCUGGUGCAGCUGAUGACGGCGGCCGUGAUCCCCGGUCUGCAGGGCGCCGCCCGCCACCCCACGGGCAUCCCCAUCGUGGCCGGGCCCAAGAACGUGGCCGGCUGCGCCAAGCACUUCGUCGGCGACGGCGGGACUCGCAACGGGAUCAACGAGAACAACACGGUGCUGAGCUUCCACGACCUCAUGCGGAUCCACAUGCCGCCCUACUACGACGCCGUCAUCAAGGGCAUCGCCUCCGUCAUGAUCUCCUACUCCAGCUGGAACGGCGUCAAGAUGCACGAGAACAAGUACCUCAUCACCCAAAUCCUCAAGGACAAGAUGCGCUUCAGGGGGUUCGUGAUCACGGACUGGCAGGCGGUGGACAAGAUCACCACGCCGCCGCACAAGCACUACUACCACUCCAUCCAGGAGACCAUCCACGCAGGCAUCGACAUGGUCAUGGUCCCCUACGAUUACCCGGAGUUCGUCGCCGACGUCACCGCGCAGGCCAAGCGCGGCGCCAUCAACAUGGACCGCAUCAACGACGCCGUCAGCCGCAUCCUCCGGGUCAAGUUCGCCAUGGGCCUCUUCGAGAACCCCUUGCCCGACCACACCCUCGUCGACCAGCUCGGCAGCAAGCCGCACCGGGAGCUCGCCAGGGAGGCCGUCCGCAAGUCGCUCGUGCUGCUCAAGAACGGCAAAGGCAAGAAAGACGGCAAGCCCGUCCUGCCGCUCUCCAAGGACGCCAAGAAGAUCCUCGUCGUCGGCACCCACGCCCACGACCUCGGCCUCCAGUGCGGCGGCUGGACCAAGUCCUGGCAGGGUCAGUCCGGCAACGACUUCACCGGCCAAGGCACGACCAUCCUUGAGGCGAUCAAGUCGGCGGUGGACAAGAAGACGGUCAUCGACUACUCGGAGCACCCGGACAAGGGCUCCAUCUCCAAGAACCUGGACGAGUACGACUACGGCGUGGUGGUGGUGGGCGAGCAGCCCUACGCCGAGACGGCCGGCGACAACCAGAACCUCACCAUCCCGGGCCCGGGGCCUGAGGUCAUCAGGAAGGUGUGCGAGCUCGUCAAGUGCGUCGUGGUCCUUGUCUCCGGCCGCCCGCUCGUCGUCGAGCCGUACCUGGACACCAUGGACGCGCUCGUCGCCGCGUGGCUGCCGGGCACCGAGGGCCACGGCGUCGCCGACGUGCUCUUCGGGGACUACGGCUUCUCCGGGAAGCUGCCGCGGACGUGGGUCAGGUCCGUGGACCAGCUGCCCAUGAACUACGGCGACAAGCUCUACGACCCGCUCUUCCCCUUCGGCUUCGGCCUCACCACCAAGCCGGCGGCGGAUCGCAGUUAG